GGCCUCGUGGCCCAAUGGCAAGGCGUCUGACUACGACAAAGAUCCAAUAAAUGGAUCUAAUGCGAUAAUCAGGAGAUUCUGGGUUCGACCCCCAGCGAGGUCA